rnacentral:rRNA from 1 species
GACGAACCGUGCGAACGUUAUUCGGAAUCACUGGGCUUAAAGGGCGCGUAGGCGGGCCGGGAUAGUCAGGGGUGAAAGCCUCCAGCCCAACUGGAGAAGCGCCUUUGAUACUGUCGGCCUUGAGGGGUGCAGGGGCAUGCGGAACUCGAGGGUGGAGCGGUGAAAUGCGUAGAUAUCCUGAGGAACACCGGUGGCGAAAGCGGCGUGCUGGACACCUUCUGACGCUGAGGCGCGAAAGCCAGGGGAGCGAACGGG